CCUAAACGAACGAACAACCCAUAUUAAGAAAGCACAGACACAAAUAAGCAUAUCUUCAAAGUACACUAAAUUAAACCUUGUCUGGAUGGUAUCUGAGAGCAGCUUUCCUGUAUGCCUUCUUAAUUUCAGCUGAAGAUGCAGAUGGAUCAACUCCCCUGCCAUCAAAAAGAAUAAGGUACAUGUCCAAUGGAAUUUCCUUUCUUGACUCUUCUUCAACUUCUGCAAGCCGGAGACGAGCUUGUCUCAAAUCAUUUGCAUUGCUCGGUGCCCAGUAUAAACACAACAAAGAGAAAGCUUACCUUGAAAAAUUCUUCAUCAAGGGCUAUGGCAAGACUACAAUCAGCAAUAGCAUCAAUAACUUGGCCCUGAGCUUUGUAUGCAGCAGCCCGAC